UACGUAGGGUGCAAGCGUUAAUCGGAAUUACUGGGCGUAAAGCGUGCGCAGGCGGCUUUGCAAGACAGAUGUGAAAUCCCCGGGCUUAACCUGGGAAUGGCAUUGGUGACUGCACGGCUAGAGUGUGUCAGAGGGGGGUAGAAUUCCACGUGUAGCAGUGAAAUGCGUAGAGAUGUGGAGGAAGACCGAUGGCGAAGGCAGCCCCCUGGGAUAACACUGACGCUCAUGCACGAAAGCGUGGGGAGCAAACAGG
rnacentral:rRNA from 1 species